UACAGAGGUCUCAAGCGUUGUUCGGAUUCAUUGGGCGUAAAGGGUGCGUAGGCGGCGCGGUAAGUCGGGUGUGAAAUCUCGGAGCUUAACUCCGAAACUGCAUUCGAUACUGCCGUGCUUGAGGACUGGAGAGGAGACUGGAAUUUACGGUGUAGCGGUGAAAUGCGUAGAUAUCGUAAGGAAGACCAGUGGCGAAGGCGGGUCUCUGGACAGUUCCUGACACUGAGGCACGAAGGCCAGGGGAGCAAACGGG
rnacentral:rRNA from 1 species